UUUCCGUAGGUGAACCUGCGGAAGGAUCAUUACAGUAGUCGCCCGGGUUGCCGCAAGGCCUCCCGGGUAACCUACCACCCUUUGUUUAUUACACUUUGUUGCUUUGGCAGGCCUGCCCUCGGGCUGCUGGCUCCGGCCGGCGAGCGCUUGCCAGAGGACCUAAACUCUGUUUGUCUAUACUGUCUGAGUACUAUAUAAUAGUUAAACCUUCAACAACGGAUCUCUUGGUUCUG
rnacentral:misc_RNA from 1 species